AGCCCAAGAAAUAGCAACAACAACAAAAGACAAAAAGACAAAAAAAAAAAAAAGAAAGUGAAGCGAGAAAAAAAAUCCCAAACAAGAUCAUAGCGUGACUGUGGCUGGAAGGAAAUGCAAGGAUGAGAAAAAUGAACAUCUUAGUACUGUGAAGCCCAGAUAACAGAAGUGAGCAUCUUAUGGGGGAGAAGGUGUUGCAAGUGGACUCACACUGAUCCCUGCACGGCAAGACCCUGACUUCAAUGAUAGGAGGUUAAGUACCAGCUUCAAACCCUCUGUGUGUUCUGUGAGUUUCCAGUGAUGUUUCCACCUGGAGCUUUCUUCUACAUUUACCUUAAUGGCUCAGCUGGAAUUGAGCCAUCUCUGGUAAGUGUUCUUGAGUUGUAUGCAGUAUUGGCAGUAGCUUCCUUAUUGUCUGAUAUUAGAAAUAGAAAUUCCACCCAGCUGCAGCCAGGCUGUUGCUACCUAGGCAGUGGAGGGGCAUUUAUACUCUUGUCCUCUCCAACACUGAGUGGCCUUUUGUCACCUUCACAAGUCUUCAGAUUUAUGAGAAAGCUUCCUGUUCCUAGAGUGGCUCUGCCAUCAGCCUUUUCACUCUGCUUUUUACUCUUUCUGCUUUCUUGGCUGUAGUAGGAGAAUCUGCUCCAGUGAACAUUACAUUGUUAAUAUGUGUAAAGCAUUUAAAAGAAUGCUUCGCAUGUAUUAAAGCUUCUGCUAUUACCAUUAAUAUGAUUGUUUUUAUUACUGCCACUAUCUCGGAUCUGAAACUGGAACCCAGCUAAGCCUCUGACUUAGCUCUCGUUAUGCCGGGUGGCUUAAGAAAAUUGAAACUUAUCUAGAAAAGGGGUAGAAAAUUUUGUGGCCACUGUCAGCUCAAAAAGUCUUAAAAAGAUCAAAGUAUUAUCACUUUACUAAUUUUACUUGUUAGGGCUUUAACAUCCCCUAACUGGGUUACUGAGAGACCCUUGUCCAGGCUUGACAGUGGGAUGGAGAACCCAGGAACCUCUGUGCAGAGUGAUACCCAGCCAUCUGGUGUCCACCAAACAGCAGCUCAGCGUGGGAUGGCAGUAAGCAAUGAAGCUAAUGUCAGUAUGUUCCAGAUACUGUUCUAAGUGCUUUUAUAUAAACUAUUUCAUCUAUUCUUCAUAAAAUCCUAUGUGUGGGCACUAUUAUCCUCAUUUUAUAAAUGAAGAAACAGUCAUAAAGAGGUUAGUUAACUUGCCUAAAGCUGCAAAGAUAUUAAAUAGGAUAUCCAGACUAUGUACUCAGCCAGUCUGAUCUUGCAGCCUUUGCUAAUAACCACCUCACCAUGCUGACAGGGAGAACCCUGGUGUAGAGGCAGAAGUCCAGCUCUGAUCUCAUCUCCUUCCCUCCAUCACUCAACAAGUCUAAUGAUCUUGGGGAAAGUACUCAACCUUCCUGAACCUCUCUGCUCAUCUGUAAGGCUCCGCAAGGGUGUCCUGUGCACUACAGUAUCCCCAGGGUCUGAGAUGCAGGACAGUGAAGACAAGGUGUGAGCAGCAUUUCUCAGCUGUCCCCAGUGGCGUUUCCAUGGGGACGAAGCCUCUGCCUCACUUGCCCUCAGGCCCCAUGGGCUGCUGGUCAACCUCGGGAUCUACCAGAGAUGAUGCAAACGCUGAUUGAACGAUCUGAAACC